rnacentral:lncRNA from 1 species
AUUUGUAUAUAUCUGAUUUGUGUUCAUCCUGACUUUUUCUUGCCAAUGAACUUUAAUGACUCUGGAAGAGAGUGAGGUGGAUGACUGUGCAACUCUGCCUCAAUUAAAUCCCAAAGCUCCUGUUUACAAAGAUGGAAGAUGAAAGUAAUCUCUCCCAUCUGCAAAAUGGACAUAAUAAACCCCGUGGAUCACCCUCACUGCAGUUGAGUAAGGAAAAGUGCUAUCUGAACUGUUACUUCACUCAAUUCUGGAUUCAAACUACUAUAUUCAAAGUGAUUUUAAUAACAAUUUAAAAAAUUAAAUAAGUUAAUUUAACAAUUUCAGUUGAAUAAUUAAAUACAUUUUUAUUUUACUGAUGAUUUUAGUAAUUUUUAUUUAAUAAUAAGAGCUAACAUAUAUUUAGCACCUACUACAUAUUAGGCAUUGUGCUGAGUGCUUUACAAAUAUUUUCUUAUCUGAUCCUUACAACAAUCCUGGAAGGUAGGUGCUAUUAUUAUCCUGAUUUUAGAGUUGAAGAAACUGAGGCAGGCAGGCAUAACACAACUAGUAAGCAUGUGAGGUCACUUCUUUGUCACUGUUCUGUUUUAAUUGCCCCUAAAAUAAAGGCAUAACAUUACCUGGAAAAUGCUAUCUG